rnacentral:rRNA from 1 species
AAGCUCGUAGUUGAAUUUCGGGGUUCUACCGUCGGUCGGGCUACCAAGUCUGUACUGGUGUGUAGAAUUUCUACCUUCUGGGGAACCAUCAUGUUAUUAAUUUAGCGUGGUGGGAAACCAGGACCUUUACCUUGAAAAAAUUAGAGUGUUCAAAGCAGGCUUAUGUCUGAAUACAUUAGCAUGGAAUAAUAGAGUAGGACGGUGGUCCUGUUUUGUUGGUUUCUGAAUCACCGUAAUGAUUAAUAGGGAUAGUUGGG